rnacentral:rRNA from 1 species
GACGAACGCUGGCGGCGUGCCUAAUACAUGCAAGUUGAGCGAUGAAGGUUGGUGCUUGCACCAAUUUGAAGAGCAGCGAACGGGUGAGUAACGCGUGGGGAAUCUGCCUUUGAGCGGGGGACAACAUUUGGAAACGAAUGCUAAUACCGCAUAACAACUUUAAACAUAAGUUUUAAGUUUGAAAGAUGCAAUUGCAUCACUCAAAGAUGAUCCCGCGUUGUAUUAGCUAGUUGGUGAGGUAAAGGCUCACCAAGGCGAUGAUACAUAGCCGACCUGAGAGGGUGAUCGGCCACAUUGGGACUGAGACACGGCCCAAACUCCUACGGGAGGCAGCAGUAGAGAAUCUUCGGCAAUGGACGAAAGUCUGACCGAGCAACGCCGCGUGAGUGAAGAAGGUUUUCGGAUCGUAAAACUCUGUUGGUAGAGAAGAACGUUGGUGAGAGUGGAAAGCUCAUCAAGUGACGGUAACUACCCAGAAAGGGACGGCUAACUACGUG